GGAGCUAUGGCUCAGUGGUAGAGCAUUUACCUGGCAUGUAUGAGGCGCUGGGUUUGAUUCUUAGCACCA
rnacentral:tRNA from 1 species